rnacentral:lncRNA from 1 species
GUUACAUCAACCCUGGCCAUUCACCCCUCCCUGCCAUGCAGCUGUCCCAGUGCCAGCCCCUACCUCCUGGAACCCCUCUUCCAGGGACAGCCUCCCAGAAUGAGGAGCCCUGUGGGAGGCCUUCCUUCUGUAUUUGGUUUUGGGACCAGGGUCAGAGCCCACGGACUGACCCCAGGCACAGUGGCAUCGAUGGGGCACAGCCCAUUACACAGCAGCAAAUGGUGAGAGAAGCACGGGGAGAAAAAUGUGGGGGGCAGUUCCCUGCAGCCCCCCAUCCCGCAGGAAAAGGGAGCUGGCAUAAAAAGCCCCCCAUCCUGCAGAAAAAGGACCAAGCUGCCUCAGUCCCAUCGGACCUUGACGGGAGGGAACCUCCAGAGGUCGGGGUGGCCCAUGCGCAGCAGGUGGCUGCAGGGGGAUGUGCUCCAGCGGAAGGGUGGCACGUCGUCCCACGUCGGCCCGCUGGCAGCCACUAGCCCGAAGGUGCGGGCCAUGCCGAAGGAUGUGACCUUGGUGUCGGUGCCGCCAUGGCAGCGCUGGCGCAGGGCAGCAAAGGGGUAGGUGCCGUUGGCUGGGUUGAGGUCAGAGCGGGCAGAGAUGGCAUUCUCAGCGUUGUGGGGUGGGUUGCAGCCCUGGCACUGUGACAGUGGGUCCUGCAGGUAGUUGUUGGACCUCAUCAGACGGACCAUGGAGUCCACAUCAUGGACCUGCGUCUCAUUCCUGCGGAAGAUCUGGGCACGAGGGUUCUUGUCAUAGGUGAACCAGUCACCAUACUUCUGUACCAGCUCCAGGUUCC